GACGGAGGGUGCAAGCGUUAUUCGGAUUUAUUGGGCGUAAAGAGCGUGUAGGCGGCCGGUCAAGCCAGAUGUGAAAGCCCAGGGCUUAACCCUGGAAGUGCAUUUGGAACUGGUUGGCUUGAGUUCGGGAGAGGGAAGUGGAAUUCCGGGUGUAGAGGUGAAAUUCGUAGAUAUCCGGAGGAACACCGGUGGCGAAGGCGACUUCCUGGACCGAAACUGACGCUGAGACGCGAAAGCGUGGGGAGCAAACAGGAUUAGAUACCCUGGUAGUCCACGCUGUAAACGAUGGGCGCUAGGUGUGGGGGGUUUUUAAUCCCUCCGUGCCGCAGCUAACGCAUUAAGCGCCCCGCCUGGGGAGUACGGCCGCAAGGUUA
rnacentral:rRNA from 1 species